GUUCUGCAACAAUGGACUCCCCGAAGUGCCAGCACCUUUACAUGGAUAUUCAGGAUAUUUUUGAAGGGACAUUACCUUCCUGAAACGAGAGGUCUAUGUCUUCUGAAGAGCAAAUUGUCAGAACAAUCUUAAGAAGGCCAACAAUUGGACCAGGAAACAAAAUCAUAGAUAUGGUAAAGACAUAUGAGAAGCAAAGGGGAUAAAAUGAAUGCACAUAUAGUGUGCCUUUUCUGGCCCAAUUCCAUGUUUGAAGUCUUCUAUAUAGAAUGCUCUAAUCCAUACUGAACUACUAUUCCUGACAUGACAAUGGU